GAAAUCAUUUCCAUAGAGAGGAGGCUUUGCAUCGUCAGCUGAUCCUCCAGUGAACUGAGAAGGUUUAUAGUCCUGUGAGUUCAACACUGCAGGACUCAGAUCUGUCAGUCAACACAGCAGAAACCACAACCACCAUGACUCUCAUCACCAUCCUCAUCUGGACGCUGGCCUGCUGCUGUUUUACAGGAUGCAGCGGUCAGGUGACUGUGACUCAGCCUCCGGUAAAGACAUUUACUCCAGGAUCCACUGUCACUAUCAGCUGUAAAACCAACCAAGCUGUUUACAGUCACAGUCUUUAUGGAGAUUAUUUGCACUGGUAUCAACAGAAAUCUGGACAGCCUCCAAAGCUCCUAAUAAAACUUGUCAGCACACGUGAAUCAGGAACACCAGCUCGGUUUAGUGGCAGUGGAAGCAGCUCUGACUUCACUUUGACCAUCAGUGGAGUUCAGACUGAAGAUGCAGCAGUUUAUUACUGUCAGAGUUACCACAGUGGUGGUGUGUGGACUUUUGGUGGAGGAACCAAACUCAUCAUUGACUUGGGUGUGGUGCGUCCCACCCUGACCGUCCUCCCCCCCUCCAGAGAGGAGCUGCAGAAGGACAGUGCCACACUGGUGUGUCUGGCCAGCGGGGGCUUCCCCUCAACCUGGAGUCUGGGCUGGAAGGUGGGGGGCAGCAGCAGCUCCUCAGGGGUGUCACACAGCCUGGAGGUCCUGGGGAGGGACGGCCACUACAGCUGGAGCAGCACCCUGAGCCUCUCUGCAGACCAGUGGAGGAAGGCGGGCUCAGUGAGUUGUGAGGCCAGUCUGAGUGGACAGAGCCCUGUCACUCAAACCCUGGACCCUGACCGCUGCUCAGAGUAAAAAAACAACAGCACUGAAUCUGCUGAGACAAAUUCUGCUCUUAGAAACAAAUCCAACAUGCUGUAUUGAAGGUCUGCUUAACUAACAUGUGACAUUCUGCAUUUCAUUUGUCUUCAAUUCUUUCCUUAAACAUUUAUACUUUAUUACAGUCACAUGCUGUAUUCUUUGUGCAUUUGUCAGAGAAAUAAAUACUUCAUGCUCUCA